rnacentral:rRNA from 1 species
UGCGGAACACGUGUGCAACCUACCUUUAUCUUGGGGAUAGCCUUUCGAAAGGGAAGAUUAAUACCUGAUAAUAUAUAAUAUGGCAUCAUAACAUAUUGAAAAGCUCCGGCGGAUUAGAGAUGGGCACGCGCAAGAUUAGUUAGUUGGUGAGGCAACGGCUCACCAAGACGAUGAUCUUUAGGGGGGCCUGAGAGGGUGAUCCCCACACUGGUACUGAGACACGGACCAGACUCCUACGGGAGGCAGCAGUGAGGAAUAUUGGACAAUGGGUGCAAGCCUGAUCCAGCCAUCCCGCGUGAAGGACGACUGCCUAUGGGUUGUAAACUUCUUUUGUAUAGGGAUAAACCUCUCCUCGUGAGGAGAGCUGAAGGUACUAUACGAAUAAGCACCGGCUAACUCCGUG